AAAUUUUACAAAUUUUAAUAACUGUUUCUACGCGAAUCAACCCUUUGACUGCAGGAUGAUUUUUGUUGGAAACUCUAAGAGGCGUAGCGGUGUGAAUUUAAAAAAAAUACCACCUUAUAGGGGAUGAAAAGACGAAACUUAUUUGUAUUUACAUUUUGUUCAUAGGACCUUUAGUUUUCAAAAUAAAAAUUCAAAACUUAGAAGACCUUUCUCUCCUGAAUCCUAUUACAUUUGGAAUGGUGAAACUGAAAGUAUCGUUUGUUGACAAUUACUUAUUUGACGGAUUUGAAAAAAUACCACCUUAUAGGGGAUGAAAAGACGAAACUUAUUUGUAUUUACAGUUUGUUUAUAGGACGUUUAGUUUCUGAGAUAAAAAUUAGAAACUUAAAAGAUCUUUUUUUCACCGAAUUCGAUUACAUUUGCAAUAGUUAAAAUGAAAAUAUCAUUAGUUGACAAUAAUUUAUUUGAUGAAUAUGGAAAAAAUAUCAUCUUAUUGAGAAUGACAAAACGAAACUUUUUUGUAUUUACAGUUUGCUCAUACGACUUUUAGUUUCAGAGAUAAAAAUUCAAAACUUAGGAGACCUUUUUUCCCCCAGAAUUCUAUUACAUUUGCAAUGGUGAUACUGAAUCGUUAAUUGACAAUAAUUUAUUAUUUGAUGAAUUUUAAAAAAAAUAGCACAUUAUAGGGGAUGAUGAGACGAAACUUUUUUGUAUUCACAGUUUGUUCAUAGGACGUUUAGUUUCUGAGAUAAAAAUUGAAAACUUAAAAGACCUUUAUCCCUGAAAUUUAAUUUUCGCCAUGAAUUUUUAUCUUUUUAAUUUUUAUUUUCGAAACUAAACGCCCUAUGAAUUAAUUGUAAAUAGAAAAAAGUUCCGUCUCACCAUCCCCUAUAAGCUGAUAUUUUUUUUAAAUUGAUUUAACGAGCAUGAACAUUUUUCUACAUUGCUUAGUAUAAUAAGUACAUGGACCAAGAAACAUUAAAAAGAAUCGAAUUGCAAUUUAAUUAUUUUGUCGAAUUUCGAUUCACUCAAACUUCUCGUAAACAUUCUUAGCCUAGUUUCUUCACGUUUUGAGCGUGAUCGUGAGAUUCUAGUGAACUAUAUUUACGUAAGAACACGUGGAUAAAAAUUAUUCCUCCCGACUAAUUAAUCCUGAAUGUUGCAUAACAACAUGCAAUAUUGUAUAACCUGAAAGUAGCUGAACGAACUUCGUUACAUUUUCGAUGGGGAAAAUGAAUGCAUCGUUAGUUGACAAAUACUUAUUUGAUGAAUUUAAAAAAAAAUAGCACAUUAUAGGGGAUGAUGAGACGAAACUUUUUUGUAUUUACAGUUUGGUCAUACGACGUUUAGUUUCUGAGAUAAAAAUUAGAAACUUAAAAGAUCUUUUUUCCACCGAAUUCGAUUACAUUUGCAAUAGUUAAAAUGAAAAUAUCAUUAGUUGACAAUAAUUUAUUUGAUGAAUAUGAAAAAAAUAUCAUCUUAUAGAGAAUGACAAAACGAAACUUUUUUGUAUUUACAGUUUGUUCAUGCAACGUUUAGCUUUGGUGAUAAAAAUUCGUAUCGUGGAAGACCUUUUUCCCCUAAAUUAGGUUAUGUUUGCAAUAGUGAAAAUGAAAGUAUCAUUAGUGGACAAUAACUUGACGUUAAUUUGACGAAUUUGAAAAAAAUAUAACCUUAUAGAAGAAAUAAAAAUUCAAAACUUAGAAGACCUUUAACUGAUAGGCGAAGAAAACGAGAAGUAAGAUUAUGAUAAAUGAUUUAAAUUUCGGGAGAGGAACACGUGCUACAAGGAUUUCGUUAUGAUUGUUCCGAUGCGUUUCAAAUAGUAGCAUUAAGGAGAUAUUCUAGUCUAGAACUUUCAAAUAUGAAUAUAUUAAUUGAAAUAUAAAUUGUUGUCGAAAGAAUAAUUGUGAUACGUUACAUUUUUCAACUACCUGAAAAACAACUUUCAAGUAGAGAAAAUAGCUUUACAUUUACUGUGCUGAUAUCGGGUUGUCCAAAAAGUUUCUUCCAUUUCAUUAAUAAGUAAUACAUACAUUAUUGAAUUGCAUACGAUUCAUUUUUGCUUCGUUACAACAUUAACAUCUAAGAAAUUAGGUCGUCUAUUUACAUAAACACUGUCACACAAAAUAACUGGGUGCAAGUUGUGGAAGAAAUUUUUGGGACAGCCUAAUAUAUAAGAAAACAAUUAAGUUAAAAACUUGACACUUGUACAAGUGUCAAUCAUAUAUUGAUUAUUUUCACCUUCAACAAAUUCUAUACGUCUUUAACAUCUGAACAAAUAUGUGUGCGAAACCCUUUAUACAAAUUCCUUAUAGAUUAAGAAAAAGAAUCCUCAAAAAGGACUAAAAAUUUCCGCUCUAGACUAGAAUACCCCUUUUUUUUUUAUCCAGGAGCACCGACAUAUCUUCUGCAAGAAGAGAAACGAGACUAAUUUCAAUAAAUACUCUAUUAAACGCCAUUCAUGUAUUACAUAAUAAUCAUACAACAUAUUCGUAGCGCAUAAUGAUAUCAAUGACAAUUAAUACAAAGUAAACCGUAAACAAUAGCGUCUCAACUAAUAUUACAGGUGUACACCUUUCCCGUUCGACUUCGCACACGGAGGACUAUCGUUAAAGAGAGAGAGACGUCCUGACAGAAGGAAGGUAGAACGGAAAACGAGAUAAUAUGGCAUCCUAGGACUUCGUUUUAUCGUGUUCCGAAAAAAUAGCGGUUAUCCCCGUUCUCUAUUAGACUCUACACUACCGAUAUCGAGUCGAUCGAGCUCGUCCAAUCUCUUACUUUCUCGUUAAACAAAAUAUUUCCGCUAAGCGCUAGCGACUUUACAGGUUUCUCCAAGGUUGACACCCUUAACACGUUCAAUGCCUCUCACCCUAUAUUACAGGUAUGUCACGUAUCCAUAAGUUACAUUUACUAUCAACGUUAACUCCGAACCAGCGAAAUCAGAUUAACUCGACUGCAGAGGAAAGAAAAGAGCCGAGAGGGAGAGGAACUGACUUUUUAAUUAGCACAACGCUAGGUAUAAUGCAGAACUAACGCUGAUAGUAUGCAGCUUUUCUGCCAAAUGGUGUACAAGUAGACGCUGUAGAUGUUUAUACAAAUUAAUGUUUUCACAGAACAAAGAAUUUAACACGUUCACUGCCAGACUAAUAAUCAUCAACAUUUCUACGAGGCUAAAAUUGUUAUUUAUACAAUCAUAAGUGAUAUAAUUCAACAUUUGUGGUGGUACGUAUAUGUACAAUCUCUUUCAAAUUUACCAAUUCUAUCCGGAUUCAUUUUUGUAACACUCUACAUUCAGAUUGAACGCAUUUAAUUCCUCAGUGAAGAUCCUUGGGCAAAUAUGAGUAACGUAACAGUCAAUGCGUUAAAUCAAAGUACGUUUCAUCUUCCAAACGCUAUAACAUGUAUACUAUCUCUGACAUUUUAUAUAAUUUUACAUUUACAAGCAUUCUCAUACAUUUCCCUGUACUUCCAUCUGCCAUAAAUGCACAAACAUCCGCAGUCUACUUACAGACCAUAAAUUAUCCGGCUCCUAAAACUAUGUACCAUUAGCUUUAAUAAAUAGUACUAAUCAAAAAGUCAACGUCACGCUUGUUGAAGACUUCCCUCUCCCUGCAACAGGGAACUCUACGCGUUGGUCUCGCAAGACGUAUUGCUGUACAUGCUCUUAAUUCUAGGAUAACUGGUGGAACUGUACAUUUGGAAAUUAACCUAUCAUCGAUCACCGAUAAACGAUAAACCUCAGCGACGAUUCUACGUGAUCGCGUCGUUGCUCGAAGAUAGAUAGAAGAUCAUUGUGGUCUGGAGGAAUCUAGACACCCAACCGAACGCUAAGAAUAA